AGCUCCAAUAGCGUAUAUUAAAGUUGUUGCGGUUAAAAAGCUCGUAGUUGGAUUUCUGUUGAGAGCAGCGCGUCCACCUUUUGGGUGAGUAUGUUGUUUGAUCUCGGCAUCUUUUCGAAAAACGUUUCUGCGCUUGAUUGCGUGGGGCGGAGUUCGGAACUUUUACUUUGAGGAAAUUAGAGUGUUCACGGCAGGCAUACGCCCUGAAUAUAUUAGCAUGGAAUAAUAAUAUAGGACCUUGGUUUUAUUUUGUUGGUUUCUAGAGCUAAGGUAAUGAUUAAUAGGGACAAUUGGGGGCAUUCGUAUUAACGCGUCAGAGGUGAAAUUCUUGGAUUGCGUUACGACGAACUACUGCGAAAGCAUUUGCCAAGGAUGUUUUCA
rnacentral:rRNA from 1 species